rnacentral:tRNA from 1 species
ACGCGCUUUGCCCCAGAGGGCGGGCUGAAGUUUUUUGAGAGCUUUGGCUGGGAAUCUCAAGAAUUUCGCGUUCCCAUCCAUGAAAUGCGUA